UACGGGGGGGUGCGAGCGUUGUCCGGAAUCACUGGGCGUAAAGGGCGCGUAGGUGGCCUGAUAAGGGUGUGGUGAAAGUCCGGGGGCUCAACCCCCGGAUCUGCCGUGCCGACUGUUGGGCUGGAGUACUGUAGGGGCAGGCGGAAUUCCGGGUGUAGCGGUGAAAUGCGUAGAUAUCUGGAGGAACAUCAGUGGCGAAGGCGACACCCUGGACUCAUACUGACACUGAGGUGCGAAAGCGUGGGGAGCAAACAGG
rnacentral:rRNA from 1 species